UGAUAUUUCGUCGACAUAUUACGCCCGAUACACACGGGCCCUCCUUUUCAACGAGGGGCUUCCACCACGGGCACACACGGGACAAUGAACCCGUGGCGCGCCAGUUGCCACCACAUACCGCAUGUUGUGUGUGUUACCCGUAUGGCCCCCUCGUCGGACCUAGCUGCAAUUUCAGAUAGUAUAUUUACUCUCUCCUAUUCCCAUGAUCGACGACGAUCGCCAGAGCGGCGGCUUCGAAACACGGUGGCCGCUAGAUCGCCUUUUAACUAGUCGUAGAAAGGAUACAUACUCGUGUUGUCACGUGGUGAUUCUAUUAACUCACUUUUUUCCUCUUUACUUCCUUUUUCUUUGACAAUAAUACAGUAUGAUAUCUUGGUUAGUUUAGUAGUAGUAAUUGGAUAUUUAAUAUGGAUUUUCGCCACGAUAAUAUCGACCUAGGAAUUUUCGUGGGAAUUUUGUGCCACCUCAUCGAGGAAGUUUCGACGUUGCCAUUACGAUCUCAUGUUCUGCUAUUGUAUUUGGUGUUGUUUCGUGUGACAGCGUGUUUAAAAAUUUUAGAAAGAAUGUUACGAUGCACGAAAAAAUAAGAUACAAUUUCUUCUAAAUAUUUUUCUGUAUUUACAUGAAUGUUAAAUGGAUUUUCGAGCAAGCGUCGCGCUGGCAACGAUGCCAGUGAAAGAGGCGACUCGCCGGCGUCGCUUUCACGGCGUCACACAACUACCUUGACUCGUUCGGACACGAUUAACGAACCUUUCUCCACUCUUGUUUUCGCAAUUCUUUUUUUUCAAUGGUUGGUUCAUCUAGCCUAUAUCCUCAUUUCUUUUCCAAAUCAAAUGAUUAACUCUUUGAAGUUUUACGAUACGCAACUUUGACCCUACCCUAUAGACUAUUUUUUUUAGCACCAAUGAUACACUCUUGCAUCUUUUAUAUUCAGUACGAUUUUCGCAUGUUUACACUAUGUGAAAUAUCCUAAGAUGUUCAUUUAAAUAUUUUCAAAUAUCUAACUCAGGAUCAUAAUAUUAGACAUUCAAACAAAAAAUUUCAGAAAUUCUAUACUUGCAACUGUUUCGCAAAAUUGUAUUUACUCAGCCAGGUUUUUGUAGCAAAUUUUGGGUGGUAGCAUUCUUUACAAAUGUAUUUUCGAUAAUACACAUAAAUUGACUUACUGCAAUGUAUAAAAUUUGUACGUUUAUUUUCUCUACGUGAAUAGAAUUCGCAUGUUCUUUAUCAAUAAUUUAUUGCUUUUCAGAUUCUUGAAUAUUUAAAAUCUAUUGUAUAAUAUCUAUUGAUAUUCCUAAAGUUGUACAAGAUAAUUGAUUACCCUUUUUGGAACUACAAACGCUAUCACUAAACAUUUUCAGAAUUUUCUUUUAAUUAUUUAUUCCUUGCCAAAUUUUAAAUUAUACAUAAUAUUCGAAUCAAAUGUGACAUUGCUAAAUCCAAAAUCAAUGUAUAUUCUUCCUGCGGAAAUCGUUUUCUCACGUCUUUUGUCAUGUCAAAUAGACUUUUUGUUCCACAAACUGGAGUCUUUUGUGUAUCCUGCUCUGACCUAUACUUCUUUCUAUUUAAAAUUCAACUUAUAUUUUCUUACCAUGCUUUCGUAAGUUAUAUACGUUAGUGUAAUAUUUUUCGCACAAGGGCAAUUUUACAAAAGCUUAUAAAAGGAAUCUCUAUUUAUUUAUGUAUUUACAUGGAAAAUUUUAUUAUGUGCCAUUGUAUGAUCAUGAUUGCGAAUUCAACUAGGUUAACUCGUAAACUGGUAUCAUUGAGUCAUUGGGGACUAUAACAAUUUAAGAGCUUCGUCCGUAUACCGAAUAUUUUACCUCCGAAGAAAAUUACCGACUUGGCUUACAAAGCGUCAGCAGCAGCCCCUUAAGAAUCAAUCCUCUCUCGUUACACAAAUUACCAAAGACAAGGCGUUGGAUAAAGCUCGUUUAUCAAGACCGACGCGCGGAAUUUGGAGCGUGGAGACGAUAAAAACGAGGAUUUAUCAAGGGGAAUCCGAUUUGUCUGGUUCUACUGCGAAAUUAUAGAACGCAGCUCGAUGUAAACUCGACUGAAAUUCGGAGCGAAAUGCCUGGAACCGGGACAGUUGCCGUUGACGAGGCGUCCGCGAGCGACAACGAGGUUUCCACGGCGCGUGCUUCAAUUCCACUGGCGUCACGUCUGGCUUAAUUAAUUAAAGGCAGAGAAAUACAUCUGAUCGUAUCUAGAAGAGCUGAAACAAGGAAUCCAUUGAGCAUACAUAUUCCAACGGAAGUCAAUGGAUGGAUACAGUGUUAACUGGAAAUUUGCAACUUCGCGAUCGAUGUGGAAGUGGAGAGGCUUUGCUUGCAGUCCUCUUCUAGCUGAAAGGCGGAGGGGAAUGGUACCGUUGUUUUCAUUGCUGGCAAAGCUUGUUUACGUCAAGGCUACUUUUCUACGGCGUCCACCGAUGCCUUGUCAUCGUUACGCGAUGUAUCUGACUUCCUCGAAUCAUGUUCAGUGAGCGAAACAUGGUAAACGAAUUGUGCAUCAGUGGGAAUUGCUCUGGGAGAUGGGAUAUUUUGGAAGAAGUGCAACUUAUAGUGUCUCGUUAAUUGGCUUAUUAAUUGGCUUACUUCAGGGUUACUUAUAGUGGCUCACGAAAGUAUGUGAACACUCACCAUAGUGAACUCGAAUACUUAACAUAGAGACUCGUUCGAUAUUUUUGAAAUACUAAAUUUGAAAGAAUUUGAAGUAUUACAUAGUUGAUAUACGUAAUUGAUAUAUUAUAUCUAAAACUUGCUGUAUAUCUAGCGAUCGAAUUUUCAAGUUUCUUAAAUACUUCUCCUUUAUUGAAUUACUUAACAUAUUUGUAGACACAUGCCCAAAAUUUGGAGACUUUUACUCAUUCAAUAGUUCUAACUAGUCUAAUAUGUUAGUCCUAGUUAAUGUGAAGUCAUAGUUUCAGUUUAGUAUUUCAUUAUUCUAAAUUACUUGAUAUAUCUAAAAUGUAAAUCGUCGAUAAUAAUUGAAUAUUUCUAGGUUCUAACUUUCUUUAACAUCUCACCGUUGUAAAUAUCCUACAAUACGUUUAGUGUACCUGAAAUUAGAGCCUUAAUAAUCAAAUACAUAUUUUCAUUAUGCAAUCUUCAGUGCUUGUUGUAUCAAAUUGCUUCAUCUUUAUUCAAACUCGCUUCAUAUUGUUUAUUAUACUUUUAGACUCAAUAAUGCCGCAUGUAAACCUAACACCGGGUCCACAAGUUUUUCAAACGUUCCCUCCUAUGUGUCCUAGCGAUUAUUUCUCUUUUCAUCGUUUGUUUUUCUAACGCUGUAAGGAACAGUUGCGUAAUACCACGUGUGCUUCAUGGCAAAGAGCCCCAACGAUGCAGGUCACAGACGGUUGUAUUUUCAAAGUCGGCUUUCUCUUCAUUGAUACUCUUUUCUUUUGUAUCAGCCGAGAAUCGCAUAGAAGUAUACCGCCAAGUAGCUUCUUAAGAAGAUAAACUUACAAGGAUUGCGGACACGACUCGCCCGUGUCACUCGCGAACUGAAUACCAACUCGAGGUGCUUGAAUUUUCCUAGCUCUUUUACAUUCGGUUAAAGAUUACCGAGAACAGUUUUUAAAGUUAUUCUAUGCGCCGCUGGAUGAUCAGGUGGAUGAAGUGAAAGUUUAGGGAAAUACGUUUUCCUUGAGCUGUACGACAGUAUUACAGGUGUUACGACAGUAAUAGUUUGGUUUAGAUUAUUUUUAAGUGAUACGACAAUAUUACGAGUAUUACUAUAAUAAUAGUCUGGUUUACGUUAGUCUAUCUCUUUCGCUAUUACAGGUGACUAUUCUCGUUAAACGUCAAAAUUAUCGUAUACUAAAAAAGAUAACUACAUGUAUCGUUCUAAUUUAUACCUACUAUCGUUGAGUCAUAGGUGAUUGCAACUGUUCGAAUUGAGUUAUUAUUGAAUUAGAUCCUAACCUAAUUAGGUUUAACCCUUUCGGCACUAAAGGUGACUAUUAUCGUGAAACGUGAGUCUCAUCGUACAUUAAAGGUAACUAUAUAUCUUUUUCAUUUACAGUUAGCAUCGUUGCUUUGUAAGUGACUAUUACACUUUGACUAAGGUUAUGUUAUAUUUAAUCCUUUCUACUUGCUAUUAAAGGUGACUAUGUAUAGUUAGAGAAUAGCGAGCUCGUGGUAAACUAAAGAUAACUACAACUAUUCAACGAGUGUUCACUAUAUAUUAAAGAUGACUAUAAUCGACUAACAUUGAACGCUCGUUAUAACCACGUAUGAAUAUAGUUACACAAAGUUGAACUCUUUCCAUAGUAAAAUAUAACAGAAUGAUUAUAAACGAAGACACUUACACGACAUCUUGAAAGAUAAGUUAACAACUCUGGUUGAACACAGCAUAGCAUGCUAUUUUCUGAUUUGCUUUCCUUUGUUCAAUUUGCAUUGUUAUGCAAUAUGUUUACACUAACAUAAAAUAUAGUCUCAUGACUCAGUUGUCUCGUGGACGUAGCUAAAGGAUUAAAGUAUUUCAUUUCACUUUGUAUCUUAUAUUUUACGUGGUAAAAAUUGUUAAUGACCUUCGUCGUGUAAAAUAAAGAAUACAGGGUAAAGUAAAAUCUAAAUCGAACUGCGAUAGUCAUCUAUAAAUCAAAGAGUUAAAGGGAGAUACUCUAGCUUUGAAUCCCAUAGGAUCACUGACAAAUGAUGUGAGUGCCAAAACGAAGAUCUUAUGUGUAAACAAAUGCCAUGUGCUUGUUCAUUUUGGCACUCUGGUUAGCUCUAUUUUGAAAUUGUUCUGAAAGCUAAAACAACUUACUCCUAGCACUUACAGUGUUUACUGCUAUAUACCUAUAAAAUUUUAUGGACGUAGCUGUUCCACUUAUGCUUAUGUAUUUAAUUAGAUAAUCCAAUGCGAACAGAUGAUUAUUAUCGAUAUACGACUGUGUACACUAUAUGUCUUGCACUGGAUAUGCGAUGGAAGAAAGAAUCUUCGGAGUGAAUUUUGUAGAAUAAAAAUAACAAGCCUCUUUGUCUCUUCAGUGGCCCUGGGAAAAA